UAUCAUACGGCGAAACUGCGAAUGGCUCCUUAAAACAGUUAUAAUUUAUUUGAUGGAUAAAGAUAUGGAUAACCGUAGUAAUUCUAGAGCUAAUACAUGCGUGAAAGCCUGACUCACGAAGGGCUGUAUUUAUUAGAUAAAGCCAACAUUUAGGUGAUUCAUAAUAACUUAGCGGAUCGCGGACAUUGUCCGCGACGUGUCAUUCAAGUAUCUGCCCUAUCAGCUUUGAUGGUAGUGUAUUGGACUACCAUGGCAUUAACGGGUAACGGGGAAUUAGGGUUCGGUUCCGGAGAAAGAGCCUGAGAAACGGCUAUUACAUCUAAGGAGGGCAGCAGGGGCGUAAAUUACCCAAUCUUAAUUUAAGGAGGUAGUGACAAGAAAUAUCGAACCGGAGAAAUCCGGGAUUGGAAUGGGACCAAACGUAAAACCCUUGGCGAGUAACAAUUGGAGGGCAAGUCUGGUG
rnacentral:rRNA from 1 species